rnacentral:tRNA from 1 species
AGCGGGAUUGUGUAGUGGUAGCACAGCGGACUCUGACUCCGUAUGCGAGGGUUCAAAUCCUUCUCCCGCUGCCA